UACGUAGGGCGCAAGCGUUGUCCGGAAUUAUUGGGCGUAAAGAGCUCGUAGGCGGCCUGUCGCGUCUGCUGUGAAAUCCCGGGGCUUAACCCCGGGCGUGCAGUGGAUACGGGCUGGCUGGAGGCAGGCAGGGGAGAACGGAAUUCCCGGUGUAGCGGUGAAAUGCGCAGAUAUCGGGAGGAACACCUGUGGCGAAAGCGGCUCACUGGACCACAACUGACGCUGAGGCGCGAAAGCGUGGGGAGCAAACAGG
rnacentral:rRNA from 1 species